rnacentral:rRNA from 1 species
UACGUAGGGUGCAAGCGUUGUCCGGAAUUAUUGGGCGUAAAGAGCUCGUAGGCGGUUUGUCGCGUCUGCCGUGAAAGUCCGGGGCUUCAACUCCGGAUCUGCGGUGGGUACGGGCAGACUAGAGUGAUGUAGGGGAGACUGGAAUUCCUGGUGUAGCGGUGAAAUGCGCAGAUAUCAGGAGGAACACCGAUGGCGAAGGCAGGUCUCUGGGCAUUAACUGACGCUGAGGAGCGAAAGCAUGGGGAGCGAACAGG